rnacentral:rRNA from 1 species
CGAACGCUGGCGGCAGGCCUAACACAUGCAAAGUCGAGCGCCCAGCAAUGGGAGCGGCGCACGGGUGAGUAACACGUGGGAAUAUGCCUCGGGAUCGGGAAUAACGGCGGGAAACUGCCGCUAAUGCCCGGUACGCCUUGAGAGGGAAAGGAGCAAUCCGUCCUGAGAGUAGCCCGCGUUGGAUUAGCUAGUUGGUGGGGUAACGGCCCACCAAGGCUACGAUCCAUAGCUGGUCUGAGAGGAUGAUCAGCCACACUGGGACUGAGACACGGCCCAGACUCCUACGGGAGGCAGCAGUGGGGAGUAUUGGACAAUGGGGGAAACCCUGAUCCAGCCAUGCCGCGUGAGUGAAGAAGGCCUUAGGGUUGUAAAGCUCUUUCGCACGCGACGAUGAUGACGGUAGCGUGAGAAGAAGCCCCGGCUAACUUCGUGCCAGCAGCC